CUCCUGAGCGUGAAGCUGGUUUUUGAUUUUGUUUGCGCAACUGUUAAUCAUCCUUGAUGAUCGUUCUUCUUCUCCUUUGGAGAAGUGAGAGGGAGAGAACGCAGUCUGAGUGGU
rnacentral:snoRNA from 1 species